GAAGAUGAUGAGACUAAGUAUACUUCUUUCCCAGUCUGACUCGACUAUGACGACAGGGUUGAAAACCGCUUUCUUUGCAUUUCCGUUGUCUUUGCAGGCAACCGUAAAGGGGGCUUAUACUUGCCAGUAUUAAGCAGUUCUGAUUC
rnacentral:snoRNA from 1 species